UACGUAGGCAGCAAGCGUUGUUCGGAGUUACUGGGCGUAAAGAGUGCGUAGGCGGUGCCCUAAGUCUGUUGUGAAAUCUCCCGGCUUAACUGGGAGGGUGCGGUGGAAACUGGGGUGCUUGAGUGCGGGAGAGGUUAGCGGAAUUCCUGGUGUAGCGGUGAAAUGCGUAGAUAUCAGGAGGAACACCGGUGGUGUAGACGGCUGACUGGACCGCGACUGACGCUGAGGCACGAAAGCGUGGGUAGCAAACAGG
rnacentral:rRNA from 1 species